GAAAAAAUUAGAGUGUUCAAAGCAGGCCCGAGCCGCCUGGAUACCGCAGCUAGGAAUAAUGGAAUAGGACCGCGGUUCUAUUUUGUUGGUUUUCGGAACUGAGGCCAUGAUUAAGAGGGACGGCCGGGGGCAUUCGUAUUGCGCCGCUAGAGGUGAAAUUCUUGGACCGGCGCAAGACGGACCAGAGCGAAAGCAUUUGCCAAGAAUGUUUUCAUU
rnacentral:ncRNA from 1 species